UAGAUGUUUGCAAGUCCCUUGGCUGGAUUGGGGAGUUUCCCUGGCACCCUGAGUCCGGCCUGGUGCCUGCAGACCCCACAACCUGGAUUUGCACCUCCACCUGCACUCUUUGCAUCCUCCUGAGCCACCUGCAGCGGUGUCUGGGUUCUGACUCAGCUUGGGGCUAGGCCCUGCCCAGCCCAGCUAGGCCCAUGCAUGGCCCUGCAGGCCUUGCAAGCCCUGCAGAGCUCGGGGGUGGCUUUCCGCAAGAUCCUGGCUCACUUCCCCGAGGACCUGAGCUUGGCUUUUGCCUAUGGCUCGGGGGUGUUCCGCCAGGCGGGGCCCAGUUCCAACCAGAAGGAUUCUAUGCUUGACUUCGUGUUUGCUGUGGAUGACCCUCUCGCUUGGCAUAAAAGGAACCUGAAGAAAAAUUGGAACCAUUACUCUUUCCUCAAAAUCUUGGGGCCCAAGACCAUCACAGCCAUCCAAAACAACUAUGGCGCAGGGGUGUACUACAAUACGCUGGUCAUGUGUGAUGGGAAGUUGAUCAAAUAUGGGGUGGUGAGCACCAGCACUUUAACAGAGGAUCUUCUCAACUGGACCAGCUUGUACGUGGCAGGCCGGCUGCAGAAACCGGUGAAAAUCCUGGCCAUGAACGAGAACGCGGUUCUCCGGUCGGCCCUGGACAAGAACCUCCGGAGCGCUGUGAGCGCAGCCUUCCUCAUGCUCCCCGAGAGCUUCUCCGAGGAAGACCUCUUCACACAGAUCGCUGGGCUCUCAUACUCAGGUGACUUCCGGAUGGUGAUUGGAGAGGACAAGAGCAAAGUGUCCAACAUUGUGAAGCCCAAUAUAGGCCACUUCCGCGAGCUCUAUGGCAGUAUCUUGCAGCAACACCCCCAGGUGGUGUACAAAAUGCAGCAGGGCCGGCUGGAGAUAGAUAAGAGCCCAGAAGGACAGUUCACGCAGCUCAUGACCCUGCCCAAAACUUUGCAGCAACGCAUCAACCACCUCAUGGACCCUCCUGGGAGGAACAGAGACGUGGAGGAGACGCUCUUCCAAGUGGCUCAUGAUCCAGACUGCGGGGACGUGGUGUACCUGGGUAGGUGUGUGGCCGGGCCCCUGGACCACUUCCCACACCUACCAGCAUGAGCUGGGGGAGGACUGGCUGCAAUUGUGAGGCCGUCCAGCAUGAAGCAAAGCGCCAAAGGCAUUAUCACUGCAGGAAUAAAGAAAUCCCUGAUUUAUAGCUCACUUAAGCUGCACAAAAUGUGGAAAGGAUGGCUGAGGAAAACCCCCUGACUUCUGGCUUUUACACACACCCAAUAAAGUAUUUCUUUUUGACAGAACAGU